UAGGGGCAAAUAUUUGCCUACUGUACAACUGAAAGAGUCUGCUACAGUACUGUUCACACAUCUGCUACAGUACUGUGUGAUUUAGUGUAUGCCAUGUUCUCUUAUCUUUUCUGAGCAGGUUGUUUUCUUCAAGGGGCUAGUUCAGGUGUAAGAUCAGGUGAUAUCAGGUGAAAGCACCUGAGACAUGCGGAAUGCUGCCGAAGCCAACGGGCUAAUCUGACAGGCCGCCUGCCGCUGCACUGUAAACACCACGCAGACAUGACAGGGCUCCGCAAUAGCCUCAGUGCUGAGAACAGGCACUGGGGGCCCCGCACUGUGCUGCUGGACUACAAAGACGGCCCUUAUUGUGGAGGCCGAAGACUGGACAGUGAUCAAUCGCCCCCCUCUCAUUUCAAGGAAACAAAUAAAACGAACAGAGGAUGUAGACUCAACAUCGACUCCAAGCACACUGACAGCUUUUGAUGCCCGGUGGGGAGAAAAGCCUGAGUCAUCUAAACACUUUUCUUCAGCUCGGCACCCCUCCGCCUCAUGUCAGUGUUAAAAAUCAACAUGGUGUUGGAACAAACACAAUUAUAUAUUUCCAUGGCAAAUGUGAAAGAAAUACAAUACUUUAUACUGAUGACUUACUCUACUUACUGUAUUUGUUAGACAAAAAUAGACAUACAGUAUAUAUAUAUAUAUAUAAAAAUUCAAAUUUCAUUCCCUUCUCUGAGAGAUCUAUACCUGCGUCACUAUUCUCCUGUGACCCAGAUGGCUCUUUAACAGUCACAUCAGUGGUUGCAAAAUGCUCCGGGUUCCGUGAUCAUGACUGUCCUUGACACGUCAGUCUUGUCUCUCUACCCUAUGCAUCAGUCUCUGCCUACCAAGCCACCACUCAACUGUGAGGCAAUUUAUCUGGUCCAACUCCGACUAUCUAUUAAAACCAUGUGUCCCAUAUUAAACUCUUCCCCUCUACUUCAAAUAAAUCAAGCGUGCCUGACA